UAAGGAAUAUUGCGCAAUGGGCGAAAGCCUGACGCAGCGACGCCGCGUGGGGGAUGAAGGUCUUCGGAUUGUAAACCCCUUUCGGGAGGGAAGAUGGAAUGGGGUAACCCAUUCGGACGGUACCUCCAGAAGCAGCCACGGCUAACUUCGUGCCAGCAGCCGCGGUAAUACGAAGGUGGCAAGCGUUAUUCGGAUUUACUGGGCGUACAGGGAGCGUAGGCGGUUCGGUAAGCCCUCUGUGAAAUCUUCAGGCUUAACCUGGAAAAGUCGGAGGGGACUGCUGGGCUAGAGGACGGGAGAGGAGCGCGGAAUUCCCGGUGUAGCGGUGAAAUGCGUAGAGAUCGGGAGGAAGGCCGGUGGCGAAGGCGGCGCUCUGGAACGUUUCUGACGCUGAGGCUCGAAAGCGUGGGGAGCAAACAGG
rnacentral:rRNA from 1 species